GCAGGAGCAACAUGCACCUCCCCAGGCCUGAGCAGGGUCACACAGGUGAUGCUGAGCUCCCUUCCCGUGGCGGUGCUGGGGUUAAAGGGAGUGGAGAGGGGCUCUGGGCAGCACCACAGGGACUCUGAGGGCGGCUCUGCAGGCUCGCCCGUCUGUGGCUGGCAGAGAGGCACCAGGACUGUGCCAGCCUGGCCAUGACUGGGUGCUGGGAUGGCACCAGGAGCUUCCCUGUGUCAUUCCCCUGUCCAGUGCAGUGAGGCUGGAGCAAGUGCAGCUGCAUUUGCUCCCCCUGACAAUCUCCAGAGGCAGGAGGUGUGAAACAUCUUCUCUCUCAGCCCUUGGGGGAUGGAGCCACACUCUCAGAGCGUGUCUCUCCAGUGGAGCUCUGCUAUGACUUCUCUUAACCAGGGAGAGGAUGCCAUCAAUCCAUCCAGCCUCGCCUGGCAAAGAGAUUGCAAACGUGGCUCUCCAUCACGCGCUACAUUAGCCAAAUUAAUUCCAGGACAGCCAGCCAGCGGUGCUCGAGGCUGCGACAGAUUAAUGCUGCAGCCGUGUCAGAAUCAGCAGAGCUGCUGCCUGCACUGUGCCAGCUCCCCGGCUGCAGCCAGCCCUCUGCUCAGCCGUGCCCUCCGCCUCACACCUCUCCGGAGCGCUGAACUCUGCAAUCACUGACACAGACAAUUCAAUUGGAAGGAACAUCUGUCUCGGAGUUGUGCUCCCAUUCAGGCUGCCGCUGCCGCCACGGGGUGACAUUUUUCAUGCGUCUUGCCUGCUUUCUUCAAUCUCCUAAGCACAGGCACGCCUGUGGAGCACAGGAAGGUUCCUCCCCUGUGAGAAGGAGAAAGAAAUUAGCCAGCAGAUCGAGUGUGUAUAGCAAAUAAUGAGAUUGCCUUGGAUACAGGACCGGAAUUCAUGCAAAGCAUGAUGCUGAUCAGAGACGAUAAGUAGCAUUUCUGGGGUCUGCAAACGGCGUCACGAAACUUGCAUUUCUCGAGUUCUGAGGCAGCAUGGACGAAGGCUGCCAGCACAGGCCUGGUCCACAAACUGCAAGUUAGAAAAUAAACCCUAAAAUAGUAAUACUGGUAGUUAUUUUGGUGUGCAAGUGCCUCAUAAUGCCUCGUUUUCCUCCAGGCACAGGAAUAAGCUGUACAACACAGGCACUGUGAGGCUGGAGGAGAAGGAGUCACAAAAGCAACUUGUCCUGACAGAGCUCCACUGGAAGGUGCUGUGUUUAUCCCCACAGGGUGCAGACCCAGCUCUAGUGGAGUCAGUGUGUCCUUUAAAAGGAGAUGGAUUUGUGCAAUACUUUUAAUAGAAAUUUACUCAUCGUUUCUGCUGAGCCUUUGGCUGAGACUCCUCUAUUUCUAAGGAAUGAGUGAUCAGAUCCUGGCAGUGCUUUAAGACAUUUAAAGAGACAACUGGAAGCAGGCUGUUCUCUGGGAGGCAGGUACCAGGCAACUCCCAAGGAGUGGCACAUGGACACAGGGGCUAUUUCCAAAGGCAAGUAGAAAAGCUGAGCAUUCCCAACAGCCCAGUGAACCCUUCCUCACUCACAGCUCCAGGUCCCUGUAUUACAAGCUUGACAUCUUCAGCAUCAAUAAAACAC